AGAGCAUGAUAUAGGAUCUUCAACUGAUGAACAUCCACCAUCACACCCAGGUACUUCACUUUUUCUUCGGGCAGUAUUGUACACUGUUCUCCUAUUGUGGUAAUAUUGAUAGAUCUAAAAGAUGGCGUCCCAGAUCUAUUACAGCUGAAUGGCAGCUGAGGGAAACCUGUCUCUACA